CCUAUCUGUAUGAGCAUUACACACAUAAAUAAACUCUGGUUUUUUCCUCCUGUUAAUCUGCCUAUUGUCACUUUAAAUUGCAGAUCCACAGUCAAUGAACAUGAGAAGGCAGAGAAAGUUUUUUGUCUCCUGCGGCUCCCAGAGAGCACUUGUUCCAGAGAGCUAUAGCUGGGGUUCAGAAGGCAGAAUCCUGUGGCCUACUUGGAGUAUCUCAACAGGAUAUGGGAUUCAGACCUAUCUGGGCAUGCCUGGAGUCCAGUUGGGUUAGGCCUUCUGGAAUUCUACUUAUAAGACAAGUCAAGUUGCCUCCAGGAACUAAUCCCAGUGGAAGAAAGAACCAAGGUACAGAGGUUGCAUGAAGGGCAACAGAUGGGGUUGAACAUGUCUGAGUACAUCAUGGCAUCUGUCACUCAGAUUGUUUGCAGUCCAGCCUGAUGGACUUAUUCAUUCUUUCAACAAAUAGCCGUUGAGCAUCUACCUAAUCUGUCCCUGAGCCCUGUGACUCCAGGGUGGCUGUAAUAAAAGAUCUAGUAAAGGCUAAAGGAGCUGUUUUUUGCUCAUCCUCUUAGGACAUGAGGAGUGCAACUUGUCCAUGGCAUGAAUACUGGUGCGGGGGGCAUUAGUGUUGGCACCUUUGGCAUCCUCUGAUGCGCUGGAAGUUAGACUUUGGGCCUUAGAGGCCUCCUUGUACCAUCAGCAGCUGCCAGCAAUGGAGGCAGUACCCGUGGUGGGCAGUGAUGACACGGGUUGAAGGACUGGCAGCAGCUAGAUGCUUGUAUUAGGGAAGGAGAGUUGUGAACACCAUUUGGCAGCUGAGAGAACUGUUCUUGGAGCGUACAUACAACGUCCCUGGGCAUCCUGAUCUAGUGGAUAUAGAGGAUGAAUCCCCCCCACCCCACCCCUGGAGAGGUAGGGAAAUGGGAUUUUGUAAUUAUGGCCGUUGCUAUGUGUAACAUAAGUUGCACAUAGGAAAACAUUGAGUCCUUAAGGGAAUCUAUGACUUUUUGUUUUUCUGUCUUGGCAACAUUUAAAGAAACUACAUGUUGCUUCUUGUGAUAAAGUUAAGGUAAUGUGCCUGCAGUGAACACUGUAGACACAAAUAUCAGAUUUCGAACAUUUGGUUUCCUUUUUAAAAAUAAAAAGCAGGAAGAUUAUUAUAGGCUUUGGGACGUGAGGUUUAAAAAAUCACAUCACACAUUCCUAAUUUUUUCCCCCUCUCUCAAAACAUCCCUAUAAAAUGAAACAACAUUGCUGAUGAGCUGUUCUUUGGCACCAGUGGACAGCUUAUUGCAAAGGAAAAAGGAUCUUGGAAACAGCCACUCCUUUCCUGCCAGAAUUUUGAGAGAUUGAUGCCCUUUUCUUUCAUUUCUGCAAUGACUAUAGGUUGCAGACUUUCAGUUACGUUCUGAAAUCCCAAACUGAAGUCUAUUAAAAACAUAUUUGUUAUUCUAUACACACACACCCACACACACACACCCCACAAAUGUUUGGGAGUUUGGAGACCACAAGUGUCUGUAAGACCUAAGGAAUUUCCCCUGAGUAACCAGAAUUUUCCAAGAAAAGUCACGCAGUGGCUGCACUGCAUUUAACUUGGUGAUUUAUGAUAUACCUAAUGAGCAAGGCGUGUGGUAUGUCGGUAUUCCAACUAGAUAGCAAUACCCUGCAGAUUUUUAAUUUUCUAGUAGAGCCAUAGUAUUUUUUCUUGAUUGCUAUUUAUUUGAAACCAACUUGUUAAGCCCAAGCAAACUAAAAGAGUCACUUUAUUCUUGAUACUUCAGUUCUAGUCAACCCAGAGUAUCCACAGUAGAAUGUUAGGGUGUGGGGGCAGAGAUAAGGAGAUGUGAUCCCUGACCAGGCAUGUCGUCCCGGAUGAGUCAGUUCUCACAAUGGGCCUCAGUUUAACUAUUGGUCAGAUUGGAGGCAGGCAAAUUGGACAGAGUUCUGUGAUUAGCACCGAGUUCUGUGGGUAGAGUGCCACAUUCCUUAACCUCUAGAUUGAGAGAACUCUCCCUGCAGAAUUCUAAUGAUGGAUCAACUAUUUGAAAGACAAUUUUGCCUUGAGAAGACUCUCAGAGGCUAUUGAUGUUAUAGAUGUCUUCUUUAUAGAGAGCUGGGGUAAUUUUCUGUGUGCCUUUGGGUAUAAGCGACUGGUAUUGUUGCCAAUCAAAGGCUUGUUUCUACAUUAACUUUACAGAAUUUAGUUUCCUGGAAUACAAAUUGCUAACAGGAAUAUGAAACAUUUAUUCAAUUCUGUUUUCAUAAUGUUUCUUUCCUUUAUCCUCCUCCUUCCGACUCAUAUGGCCUCUUCCCUUCCCUUUUUACGUGAGUUUAUACAUGGGUUAUCAGAUUAAUCCCAAAUACAGCCCUUCUCACCCUACUUUCCUGCUCAAAAACCUGAAUAGCUCUCUGUUUGCGACAAUAUAAAAUAUGAACUCCUCAUGACAUACAAAGCCCUUUGCGUACCAUCUGACUCAACCUAGCUUCCCAUCCUUGUGGCCCAUUACUCCCUUUACUGCAGACUUUGAA
rnacentral:lncRNA from 1 species